UCAAGCGAAUAAGCGCACACGGUGGAUGCCUUGGCGGUCAGAGGCGAUGAAGGACGUGGCAGCCUGCGAAAAGCGUGGGGGAGCUGGCAACAAGCAUUGAUCCCGCGAUGUCCGAAUGGGGAAACCCACCUAGCAAUAGGUAUCCUGCAGUGAAUACAUAGCUGCUGGAAGCGAACCCGGAGAACUGAAAUAUCUAAGUACCCGGAGGAAAAGAAAUCAACCGAGAUUCCCUAAGUAGUGACGAGCGAACGGGGACUAGCCCUUAAGUUGCAUCAGCUUCAGCAAAAGAACCUGGAAAGGUUCGCCGUAGAAGGUGACAGCCCUGUAUGCGAAGGGGCUGAUGCGAUGAAAUCGAGUAGGGCGGGGCACGAGAAACCCUGUCUGAAUAUGGGGGGACCAUCCUCCAAGGCUAAAUACUCCUGACCGACCGAUAGUGAACCAGUACCGUGAGGGAAAGGCGAAAAGAACCCUGGUGAAGGGAGUGAAAUAGAUCCUGAAACCGUGUGCGUACAAGCAGUAGGAGCCCGCAAGGGUGACUGCGUACCUUUUGUAUAAUGGGUCAGCGACUUACUGUUCGUGGCAAGCUUAACCGUAUAGGGGAGGCGAAGGGAAACCGAGUCUGAUAAGGGCGCAUAGUCGCGGGCAGUAGACCCGAAACCGGGUGAUCUAGUCAUGCCCAGGGUGAAGGUUGAGUAACAUCAACUGGAGGCCCGAACCCACUCCCGUUGCAAAGGUAGGGGAUGAGGUGUGAUUAGGAGUGAAAAGCUAAUCGAACCCGGAGAUAGCUGGUUCUCCUCGAAAGCUAUUUAGGUAGCGCCUCGGACGAAUACUACUGGGGGUAGAGCACUGUUAUGGCUAGGGGGUCAUUGCGACUUACCAAACCAUGGCAAACUCCGAAUACCAGUACGUACUAUCCGGGAGACACACGGCGGGUGCUAACGUCCGUCGUGAAAAGGGAAACAACCCAGACCCACAGCUAAGGUCCCAAAUUCAUCGCUAAGUGGUGAACGAUGUGGAAAGGCACAGACAGCCAGGAGGUUGGCUUAGAAGCAGCCACCCUUUAAAGAAAGCGUAAUAGCUCACUGGUCGAGUCGGUCUGCGCGGAAGAUUUAACGGGGCUAAGCGAUGAACCGAAGCUUGGGGUGCAUACUUUGUAUGCGCGGUAGAGGAGCGUUCCGUAAGCCGAUGAAGGUGGAUUGAGAAGUCUGCUGGAGGUAUCGGAAGUGCGAAUGCUGACAUGAGUAACGAUAAUGCGGGUGAAAAGCCCGCACGCCGAAAGCCCAAGGUUUCCUUGCGCAACGUUAAUCGACGCAGGGUGAGUCGGCCCCUAAGGCGAGGCAGAAAUGCGUAGUCGAUGGGAAGCAGGUUAAUAUUCCUGCACCUCGCGUAAGUGCGAUGGAGGGACGGAGAAGGUUAGGCAGGCCAGGCGUUGGUUGUCCUGGUGAGAGAGUUGAGGCGGUCCCCUUAGGCAAAUCCGGGGGGGCAACGUUGAGACUAAGGACCGGCCCAUUAGGGCUAGGCUGCUGAUAUCACGCUUCCAGGAAAAGCUCCUAAGCUUCAGCUUACGCAGACCGUACCGUAAACCGACACAGGUGGGCAGGAUGAGAAUUCUAAGGCGCUUGAGAGAACUCGGGUGAAGGAACUAGGCAAAAUAGCACCGUAACUUCGGGAGAAGGUGCGCCCUCCAUGGUUAAUAGCUAAGGGGGGCCGCAGUGACCAGGCCGCUGCGACUGUUUAUCAAAAACACAGCACUCUGCAAACACGAAAGUGGACGUAUAGGGUGUGACGCCUGCCCGGUGCUGGAAGGUUAAUUGAUGGGGUCAGCCGCAAGGCGAAGCUCUUGAUCGAAGCCCCAGUAAACGGCGGCCGUAACUAUAACGGUCCUAAGGUAGCGAAAUUCCUUGUCGG
rnacentral:rRNA from 1 species